UACGUAGGGGGCAAGCGUUGUCCGGAUUUAUUGGGCGUAAAGAGCGUGUAGGCGGCCAGACAGGUCCGUUGUGAAAACUCGAGGCUCAACCUCGAGAUGUCGAUGGAAACCGUCUGGCUAGAGUCCGGAAGAGGAGUGUGGAAUUCCUGGUGUAGCGGUGAAAUGCGCAGAUAUCAGGAAGAACACCUAUGGCGAAGGCAGCACUCUGGGACGGUACUGACGCUGAGGCACGAAAGCGUGGGGAGCAAACAGG
rnacentral:rRNA from 1 species